AACAAACACAUCCAGUAAAGACUAUCGAAAAGGCUAUAUCACGUCUGAACGACCCUGAUGUUAAAGGAAACAAUGUGUUCAUCGAGUUACGGAAGGGCACGUACGACCUGUCCAAAACAGUGAGCUUGAAGUCUGAUUUGGGCCACUCUGUAACCAUAAGGAGCUUCUACAACGGCGAACCCGUUACUGUUACUGGUGGUAGACAUCUAGCAUCGGAGCAUUUCCACCCGGUAACGGACUCCCACAUACUGGCACAAAUACCCUCUUCAGCACACAGCAAG